AAAAAAAAAAAUUGAUAAACACUAGUGUGAAAUAUUAGCCUUUCGAUGGAUAGACCAAAAAAUUUACAUCUAUCUAAAUUUUUGGGUGUAUAAGUAGUGUUGCUUUUUUUUUUUUUUUUUCUCCCUUGGGAAAAUUGUUUAGAAAAUAGAGAUCCUCUAAACUUUAGGUUCCUUUGCAACGGUGUCUGAAUUUUUAAUUUUGGCAAUUAGACCUCUUAAAGUUUGUCAAAUAACUCAAUGGAUCUCUCUCUUCAGUUGAAAUUACUAAUCACAUAGUCUCUUUGAUUGUGUCUUCAAUAUAAUUUUAUAAAGCUUUAAAAUGUAAAAAAGAAUUAUUUUUCUAUUCUAAUAUAUAAAUAAAAAUAAUAAAUAAACUAAUUGUCAAAAUUGAAAGUUCAUUUUCCUGUUUAGAAAAGAGCUAAAGAUCCUGGGUCUUUCUAUAUUAUUUCCUUUUUUGGGUGAACUUCAUUAUUCUUACUGUAGUUUAGCAUAUUUUUAUUUUACUACCCUAUGAUUUAAAAAGUAAUUUUGGUUAAUCUUAACGACCUACCCUUAGGGCGUGUUUGGUUCGAAGUCGGAGUCGAAAUCGGAAUCGGAAUCAAAAUAAGCUGGAAUCGGAAUCGGAAUUACUCAUUACCUAAUUUUGUUUGGUUUAUCACCUGAAUCGGAAUCGGAAUAAAUCAUUUUCAUUAUCGGUGUUUGGUUUAGGUGGAUAUAAAAAACGUAAUCAAAUUAAUAUACUAACAUUAUCUUUAUAAUAUAUUAAUUUAUAUUUAAAUUAAAAAUUAAAUAUUAAAAAUUUACAUUAAAAUUUUGAAAUAAUGUCAAAAUUUUAAAUCUAUUUUUUUAAAAAAAAAUUAAACUUUGAAGUUGAGUGGAUAAUUCAAAAUAUGAAACUAAAUUUUGAUUUAUUCAAAUUCAAACUUAAAAUUAUAAUUAUAAUUUUAAUUUGUAUCCAUAAAUUUAAUUUAAGUUUGAAAUAAAAUUUGAAUAAAAUUUUAUAUAAAUUAAAUUUAAUUUAAAUUCAAAUUCAUAAGUUAGAUUCGAAAUACUUAAUUAAAUUUUAAUUUUUAAUUUAAGUUCAAAUUAAAAUUUAAAAUUAUAUAUUUAAUUUUUAAAUUUUAACUCAUAUUUUAAUUAAAAAAGUUGAAAAAAUAAAUUUAAUCCGAAUAAAUAUCCAUUCGUGGGUUUCGGAUUCAACUUCCAAUCCGGCCUCUUAGUCGGAUUGAAAAAAGAGGGGGUUGGGGGAUUCCUAUUCCACUCGAGAAUUGGAAUCGGAAUGGGACUCCGCGUACCAAACACCCACAAACGGAUUUAUAUUCCGAUUCCGCAUUCCAAGGUGAAAAAGAAAGCGAACAAACACGCCUUAAUAUACUUUUUGUAACACAUGAUAGUAAAGUGCAAAUUAUAGAACAGUAAAAACUGUAUUGUUUCGCUCUGGUUUGAAAAACUAUCACGGUAGUAUUUAGUUUAGCAGCAGCUACUUACAGUGAAAUGGAAAUAAUGAACCGUAUGAUAGAUAAGCAUACUCUUUUGAAUCACAAUGCGGCGAAGAAAUGAAAAAGUGUUAGACCACAAUGAGGUAAAUUGAAGUUUACCUUUUUUUUUUUUU
rnacentral:lncRNA from 1 species